rnacentral:rRNA from 1 species
GAUGAACGCUGGCGGCGUGCCUAAUACAUGCAAGUCGAGCGAACAGACGAGGAGCUUGCUCCUCUGACGUUAGCGGCGGACGGGUGAGUAACACGUGGAUAACCUACCUAUAAGACUGGGAUAACUUCGGGAAACCGGAGCUAAUACCGGAUAAUAUAUUGAACCGCGUGGUUCAAUAGUGAAAGACGGUUUUGCUGUCACUUAUAGAUGGAUCCGCGCCGCAUUAGCUAGUUGGUAAGGUAACGGCUUACCAAGGCGACGAUGCGUAGCCGACCUGAGAGGGUGAUCGGCCACACUGGAACUGAGACACGGUCCAGACUCCUGCGGGAGGCAGCAGUAGGGAAUCUUACGCAAUGGGCGAAAGCCUGACGGAGCAACGCCGCGUGAGUGAUGAAGGUCUUCGGAUCGUAAAACUCUGUUAUUAGGGAAGAACAAAUGUGUAAGUAACUAUGCACGUCUUGACGGUACCUAAUCAGAAAGCCACGGCUAACUACGUG